rnacentral:rRNA from 1 species
GCGCGAAAACUUUACAAUGCUGGCAACAGCGAUAAGGGAACCUCGAGUGCCAGGUUACAAAUCUGGCUGUCGAGAUGCCUAAAAAGCAUUUCAUAGCAAGGGCCGGGCAAGACCGGUGCCAGCCGCCGCGGUAACACCGGCGGCUCGAGUGGUAACCGUUAUUAUUGGGUCUACAGGGUCUGUAGCCGGCCGGAUAAGUCUCUUGAGAAAUCUUGCAGCUUAACUGUCAGGCUUUCAGGAGAUACUGUCUGGCUCGAGGCCGGGAGAGGUGAGAGGUACUUCAGGGGUAGGGGUGAAAUCUUGUAAUCCUUGAAGGACCACCAGUGGCGAAGGCGUCUCACCAGAACGGACCUGACGGCAAGGGACGAAAGCUAGGGGCACGAACC